rnacentral:rRNA from 1 species
GACUAGAGUCUUGUAGAGGGGGGUAGAAUUUCAGGUGUAGCGGUGAAAUGCGUAGAGAUCUGAAGGAAUACCGGUGGCGAAGGCGGCCCCCUGGACAAAGACUGACGCUCAGAUGCGAAAGCGUGGGGAGCAAACAGGAUUAGAUACCCUGGUAGUCCACGCCGUAAACGAUGUCUACUCGGAAUUUGGUGCCUU